AAAACUUUAAGUUAAUUAAAACUAAUAAUCUUCAAAAUUAUAAAUAAAAAUAAAAAUUUUUAAGUUUUA
rnacentral:tRNA from 1 species